CUAAAGCGUCGUAGCUGGCUACGCAAGUCCGUCGGGAAAUCCACUCGCCCAACGAGUGGGCGUACGACGGAAACUGCAUAGCUUGGGACCGGAAGGCUCGAAGGGUACGUACGGGGUAGGAGUGAAAUCCCAUAAUCCCGCACGGACCACCGAUGGCGAAAGCACUUCGAGAAAACGGAGUCCGACAGGUGAGGGACGAAAGCCAGGGUCUCCAAC
rnacentral:rRNA from 1 species